rnacentral:lncRNA from 1 species
UAUUGACUGGAAAUCCAGCUGCCAGGCUACAAAGCUUUGUUAGUUAAUUUGUGAAUUAUUUGCAAAUUAUUUAUAAAUGAUUAAAAAUUCGAAUUAAACGGUCCGUUUACGAAUUUUUUUCAAAGAAAAUAAAUUAUUCGCAAAGUUUUUGGCCAGCUAAAUAAUUCACGAAUUAUUAAAAAUCUGAAUAAAAAAUUUAUAAUUUUUAUAUUUAAAUAUAGAUUAUCUUAUAUUUUAUAUUAUAUUUUAUAUCGAAUCUGUUUUAAGUCGAAUUUUUCAACGAAUUUAAAAAUUAGAAAACGAAUUUUAUGCGUAUUAUACUCGUACCGAAUUUUUGCCGAAUCCGAAUUAAC